AUCCAGAUGACGAGUUCCAAGUGGGACGAAAUAUGUGUCAUGGAU
rnacentral:hammerhead_ribozyme from 1 species